UACGUAGGGUGCGAGCGUUGUCCGGAAUUAUUGGGCGUAAAGAGCUCGUAGGCGGUGUGUCACGUCGGCCGUGAAAACCUGCAGCUUAACUGUGGGCGUGCGGUCGAUACGGGCAUCACUGGAGUUCGGCAGGGGAGACUGGAAUUCCUGGUGUAGCGGUGAAAUGCGCAGAUAUCAGGAGGAACACCGGUGGCGAAGGCGGGUCUCUGGGCCGAUACUGACACUGAGAGACGAAAGCUAGGGGAGCAAAUGGG
rnacentral:rRNA from 1 species